UACGGGGGGGGCAAGCGUUGUUCGGAAUUACUGGGCGUAAAGGGCGCGUAGGCGGCGUGACAAGUCACUUGUGAAAUCUCUGGGCUUAACCCAGAACGGCCAAGUGAAACUGUUGUGCUAGAGUGCAGAAGGGGCAAUCGGAAUUCUCGGUGUAGCGGUGAAAUGCGUAGAUAUCGAGAGGAGCACCAGAGGUGAAGACGGGUUGCUGGGCUGACACUGACGCUGAGGCGCGAAAGCCAGGGGAGCAAACGGG
rnacentral:rRNA from 1 species